AACGCCCCCCUUUGUGGAGUACUGUAGUUCCCUGGUAUACCACCAAGUGGCGCUGUGGCCCCGUGAAACCAUUUUCGUGCGGAACGUCGGUUUCCGUUGCACACCUGAUUUGGCCAAAAAUCAGCUCUUCGUCCAUUUGGAAGAUAGGGCACAUCACUGUAGAUAAUACGUAUUUAUGUUCAUAUUUCAUGUCUACUCAUUAGUUCAAAUAUACACGAAUACCUUGAAACUAAUUGGAAACACCUUGGUUUUGCUUGUCACACCCGAGGCGUUUGUUUGUUUGUUUGUUUCGGGGCUCAAACGUCAUUCACCUUUUUUCGUUCGAGUCACGUCCGAGCCACCUUAAAUUGAUGAAACACGCAUUUUUAUUUUGCAUUCAAGCCAAUCCGCCGUUUGUUAUUUUCAGCCGCGGGCACUUUGUGAAAGGGAAAAGUAGCAUCAUGGGGAUUCAACGAGCGAGUAAUGGCCCUUCAGUAUUAGGGGAGCCACCUUGAAGACGUUUGAAAGACGUCUCCCGUCUUCAUAAACAAUUGCAGCUAAUCAAGCCGCCUCGCACUCCUAGUAUCGUCUCUCCUCGCUGUCUGUCUUCACCUGAGACUAAUUGUGCAGGGAGAUAAACACGGCAGCCAAGUGGGGAGGAAGCUGAAUUGAGCUUGAAUAUCAAUCUCCCUGCGUCGGUGUCAUUGCCGGGUGACUUUGGCUGGAGUGGAGGUGCCUCAUUCAGAUUCGACGUCCAGGUCCCCCAAAACAUCCUGGAAAGCCCUCACCUCCAAACAUACAGACUGGACCAAAUAGAGAAGGCGUGGUUUGGAUGGACACUGAUGCACAGACUCCGUCUGCUCGAACGCACACCUAAGAUCAAACAGACCUGCCCACCAAAGUAAAGUCACCACCGGGAAAAGGUCAAAAGAAAAGAGGGCCCGGUUGGAGCAGAAGCGAGACGCCGGCGCUGCUCUGCAUUCGAGAGGCGGGAGCGAAAAGGUCUGCUUGAAGGUCAGUUCCAAUGCGGAGAAGCAGCUUUGUUGCUUUCCCCUUGUUUGCCUGGAAAAUAAGUUGAAUCAACGAGGCGAAUUUGAGAGAAAUUGGAUCAAGCCCACUGGGGGGAAGGGGGGGGCGCAGUAUGAAUUCCAUAUUCCUUCGGUUGUCAUGUAAUUCGGAAGUACUUUGGAUCAGCCCCACCUGUGGAGGAAGAAAUUUUCUCCCAUUCCUCCCCCCCCGC